rnacentral:rRNA from 1 species
GGCUGCUCCUAGUACGAGAGGACCGGAGUGGACGCAUCACUGGUGUUCGGGUUGUCAUGCCAAUGGCACUGCCCGGUAGCUAAAUGCGGAAGAGAUAAGUGCUGAAAGCAUCUAAGCACGAAACUUGCCCCGAGAUGAGUUCUCCCUGACCCUUUAAGGGUCCUGAAGGAACGUUGAAGACGACGACGUUGAUAGGCCGGGUGUGUAAGCGCAGCGAUGCGUUGAGCUAACCGGUACUAAUGAACCGUGAGGCUUAACCUUACAACGCCGAAGCUGUU